AUCCCUGUAGCACAAGGGAUAGUGCAUUAUACUUCUAAUCCAAAGGUCGUAGGUUCGAAUCCUACCUGGGAUG